CCACAGCACUCAGCCACCAGUACUGAGAAUCAUUACUGUGAGAAGUCAAGUCUUACCUUUUCAGAGGAUUCCACUCAGGAUACCACAGUACAUGCGGUUUUCAGUACUCUGGAAGGAAGUCGCUAUGCACAGCCCAACGUAAGGAGUGGGUGCCGGAAGCCAAUUCCAGCAUGUCAGCAGGGCUGAAUCAUCUGGAGAUGGCUGAGGGCAUUUCCCCAAACCUGAAAAGGAAG